GCGGUCGUUAACAUUGCAUUUUACAUUUGAAAAGAAAAAAAGGAAAAUCUUUUGUUCAUCGUUAAUUUGCAUAAAUCGAUAAUGCGGGGUUAUUCAAUUAGAGGAAAAUUGAGUAAAACCAUAGCAAGGGAAGCUAAAGCGCUCGUUACUCAAUCAGAUUACGGCCACUAUCAAAAUUUACUCUCAUAAUCCUAUAGUUUCAAAAAUUAACAAUUUUGUGCCUCUCAAAAUUUUCUCCAUCAGUUCCAAGAAUAUAUAAAUCCAGAUCUUGUUAUUAGUUGUCGAUAAUUCCGGGAAACCACCUUGCUUAAUAUGUUGAAGACUUGAAGAAUAGGCCCCUCACACCUGAAGAACUCAAUGUUGGUAAAAUCAAGUUCAAGGCCAUUGUUUGGGGAGGAUUUCAGAUCUCUUGCCGCAUCCGUAAAGAUUACUAUGUCAAAGUAAAUUUAUAUCCUUGUGUAUUUUGCCCUGUUAAUAAUUUUAUUAAGGGAUUGAUUGACCAUGUUGUGUGCCGAAUUUCCAAGUUGUUUUAUUUCCUAGUGUAUUUAAGUUUAAGUUGUUUGAAUGCUUAGUCGUUGCAUGUUGCUCGAGUUGAGAUGCUUGACCAGUCCCU